UGAGGAAUAUUGGUCAAUGGGCGCAAGCCUGAACCAGCAAUGCCGCGUGUGGGAUGAAGGGGCUCUGCCUCGUAAACCACUGUCGGACGGGACGAAAAGGGGUAUAAACCCCUGGGACGGUACCGUCAAAGGAAGGGUCGGCUAACUACGUGCCAGCAGCCGCGGUAAUACGUAGGACCCGAGCGUUGUCCGGAUUCACUGGGUAUAAAGGGUGCGUAGGCGGUCAUGUGCGUCAGGGGUGAAAUAUCCGGGCUCAACCCGGAGGGUGCCUUUGAUACGGCGUGACUUGAGUGCGAGAGAGGAUGAUGGAAUUCCUGGUGUAGCGGUGAAAUGCGUAGAUAUCAGGAGGAACACCGGUGGCGAAGGCGGUCAUCUGGCUCGUAACUGACGCUGAGGCACG
rnacentral:rRNA from 1 species